AUGUGCAUUCCGAAGAAAAGUGGUGGUAUGGGUUUCCGUGAUAUACACAUUCAUUUGGCACUUCUAGCCAAGCAAUGCUGGAGACUCAUUGAGCAUCAUCACUCGCUAUGUGCGAGGGUUUUGCGUGAGAAAUAUUACCCAAAUGGUGAAUUACUGAACUGCAGUUUGAAGAAAGGUUCUUCCUAUGUGUGGCAGAGUAUUUUGGCGGGAGCUCAGACUUUCAAGAAAGGAAGCAUUUGGAGGGUGGGUAAUGGCCUUAAAAUAAAUAUAUGAGAGGACUGUUGGGUGCCGAACAGCUCCUCCAGGAAAAUUGUCAGUACACGCGGAAAUAGAGUGCUUACCCGAGUUAAAGAACUUAUUGAUCCAGUAUCCGGAGAGUGGGAUGAGAAUCUUAUCAGAGGAAUUUUUUGGCCCAUUGAUGUUGAUCGCAUACCACAAAUUCCAUUACAUCAGGAUGAUACUGAGUAUUAUGUGGCAUGGCACUUGACGAAGACGGGAAUAUUCAGUGUACGAUCUGCCUAUUAUAAACAGUAG
rnacentral:rRNA from 1 species